ACUUCAAGAGCGCACGGUGGAUGCCUAGACACUAUAUAACGAUGAAGGACGUUGCAGGGUGCGAUAAGCCUCGGGUAGGUCCCAAGCUACCUUUGAUCCGAGGAUGUCCUAAUGGGGAAACCUGGCGCGAGUAAUGUCGCGUCAUCAUAUACUGAAUACAUAGGUAUAUGAGGAAGACCUGGCGAAGUGAAACAUCUCAGUAGCCAGAGGAAAAUAAAGAAACAUAUGCUUCUUACUUUAUUCACCUACGUUGGUGAGUAAUCGCCACAUAGGUGAAUAGUAAGAUGCUUCGAUUCCGUUAGUAGUGGCGAGCGAACGCGGAAGAGCCUAAACCUAUACAUGUGUUGUGUUGUCGAUGGAUUGGUCUUCGGACUUAUUUUGAAACAAUGCUUAAAGGACAGACCGUUGCAGUAUAGGUGUUGUAGGAUGCAGUAUCCGGGAAUCUGAAUGACCGGGUUCAUUAAUUGUCUUGUAUAAUCGAAGUCUCCUGGAACGGAGCGUCAAAGACGGUGAAAACCCCGUAGAUGAAAUACGUCAAUUAAUCGAAUGUCUGUACUCCUGAGUACGGCGGGACACGUGAAACCCCGUUGGAAUCAGCCACGACUAUGUGGUAAGGCUAAAUAUAUAUAGUGAUCGAUAGUGAACUAGUACCAUGAGGGAAAGGUGAAAAGCAGCCCGGAGAGGGCGAUGAAAUAGUAUUUGAAACCGUGUGCUUACAAUAAGUUGGAGCUCGUUUAUACGAGUGACAGCGUUCCUAUUGAAGAAUGAGCCUGCGAGUUUGUUCUUGUUGCUAGCUUAAGAGCAUUAUUGUUCGAAGGCAUAGGGAAACCGAGUCUUAAUAGGGCGAAUAAGUAGCAAGGACAAGACCCGAAACCGGGUGAUCUAUCCAUGGCCAGGUUGAAGGGACAGUAAAAUGUCCUGGAGGACCGAACCCACGCGCCGUGCAACACGCGGGGAUGAGCUGUGGAUAGCGGAGAAAUUCUAAUCGAACUCGGUAAUAGCUGGUUCUCUCCGAAAUAGCUUUAGGGCUAGCUGUACGUGUUCCUGUUGGGGGUAGAGCACUGGAUGGAACUGGGGCGGUUCGCCGUACCCACUCCAAUCAAACUCCGAAUACCAACAGUCAAGAACGUGCAAGUUAGACUAUGGGGGCUAAGCUUCAUAGUCAAAAGGGAAACAGCCCAGACCGUCAAUUAAGGUCCCUAAAUUACUACUAAGUGUUAAAGGUAGUGUUAAUUCUCUUACAACCAGGAGGUUGGCUUAGAAGCAGCCAUCCUUUAAAGAAAGCGUAAUAGCUCACUGGUCAAGAGUUUUCGCGCCGAAAAUGUACCGGGGCUCAAGUA
rnacentral:rRNA from 1 species